UUCUCCCCUCUUCAUAAUUCAUUCCUUUCAAACAAAAUUAUAUUUGAUAAAUUCAUACCUUGACCACACUUCCUCAUCCUCUUUCCAUUGAAAAGGAUUAUAGUGAUUCUGAACAGUAGAAAUCAAAGCUUCGAGUUUGUUCAUCUUAGCACUCAAAAAGGAUAGACAUCAAUAUUUUCGAUUUCAACAGUUUCGUCUUAACACUCAAAGGAAGGACGAACACCAUCGUUGUCGAUUUCAGGAAAAGGCUAGUGCAAGAAUCACUUCAAAGAAGAAUAGCCAUGGACCAACAACGUGUCGAAGGAGAAGGAGAAGUGGAUAAUGAUAGUAUAAUUUUGACUUUUCGGUGGAAUGCUAUCCGACGUGUCUAUGAAAUGUAUCGUCAUAGGAGAGGUGACAACAACCAACCACCUUUUCUUAAUGAGGAUUGGGACAUGCGCAUUUAUACUCAAAAUGAUCACAUGAUUUUUCGUGAAAAUUCCAACAAUCGGAGGGUAAGAAGAAUUAGGAUUGGCGAAGGAGAAUCAGGCUCUGGAAACAGCAUUACUUGCACCAUAUGUCUUGAAGAAUUUCCUGUUGGGUUAGAAGUGAUUCAAUUGCCUAGACCUUGCUGUCAUAUGUAUCAUCAAGAUUGUAUAAUAAGGUGGCUCCGUAGCUCUAACACAUGCCCAUUGUGUCGUAGGCCUGUUUCUUAAGGUUUUCCCUGUUCAUCUAUAAACUUCUUAUACCUAUUUUAAUUUAUGCCAAAAUGAUUUGGGUGACUAUUAGAAACUUUGUUUAUGUCAAUAUUGUCCAUGUAUGUUUAACUAUUGGAAAUAUUUAUUAGCUUUAUGAAAUAAAUUGUUGCUUUUAUUUUGUAUCUGAA